AUCACUUCUCGGCCUUUUGGCUAAGAUCAAGUGUAGUAUCUGUUCUUAUUAGUGGUGCAUUAAGCCCGUGGAAAACAAAAACAAGCAAAAAGAACUCAAGUUAAAAUACUCCAGGUCAUACUAAGACAAAAUUUUCUAAUGUUAUUCUCCCUUCUGUGGCUCACUUUGAUUUCAAUAAUGCACAGAACUAACGGCUAGGUUUGAUUACUUGCAGUUGUGCAAAC
ensembl:snRNA U2 U2 spliceosomal RNA